rnacentral:rRNA from 1 species
GAUGAACGCUGGCGGCGUGCCUAAUACAUGCAAGUCGAGCGAACGGACGAGAAGCUUGCUUCUCUGAUGUUAGCGGCGGACGGGUGAGUAACACGUGGAUAACCUACCUAUAAGACUGGGAUAACUUCGGGAAACCGGAGCUAAUACCGGAUAAUAUUUCGAACCGCAUGGUUCAAAAGUGAAAGACGGUCCUGCUGUCACUUAUAGAUGGAUCCGCGCUGCAUUAGCUAGUUGGUAAGGUAACGGCUUACCAAGGCAACGAUGCAUAGCCGACCUGAGAGGGUGAUCGGCCACACUGGAACUGAGACACGGUCCAGACUCCUACGGGAGGCAGCAGUAGGGAAUCUUCCGCAAUGGGCGAAAGCCUGACGGAGCAACGCCGCGUGAGUGAUGAAGGUCUUCGGAUCGUAAAACUCUGUUAUUAGGGAAGAACAUAUGUGUAAGUAACUGUGCACAUCUUGACGGUACCUAAUCAGAAAGCCACGGCUAACUACGUG